GCGAAACAUCGUGGGUGUGUUUGCUUGGGUCGUGCUGUGGUUGUUGCAGAUCAGUUUUGCAGCCACCGUGGGCGAUACGCCGAUGGGCUUAGCUGAAGUCGAUAGUGCGCUCCGCAGCCGUCGUGACUACACGAAAGCCGAGUUGAAGGAAUUUAUUCGUCUCUUAGAGGAGUCAAUCAACCGCGGGCAGAAACUCACAGAAGACCCGAGAACCUACUUCAAGAAGGUCAAAGAUCGUGGGAGGCACCACUGAAACCAUCGGAGACAAGCAGGGACGUGUCUUUUGCUGGAAAUUUAAGGAAAUUUGCCAGCUGCAAUGAAACAACUCUGUUAAAACCAGAGUAAAAAAAUGCACAGUGUACGUUCCGCUCACAUGUUGUUUCUCUGGUAAUAUCUCAUAAAUGUGGGAAUAAAGACUUUUUCAACACUGUC